rnacentral:rRNA from 1 species
UACGUAGGCAGCGAGCGUUGUUCGGAGUUACUGGGCGUAAAGCGUGCGUAGGCGGUUGUCUUAGUCUGGUGUGAAAUCUCCCGGCUCAACUGGGAGGGUGCGCCGGAAACUGGAUGACUGGAGUGCCGGAGAGGUAAGCGGAAUUCCUGGUGUAGCGGUGAAAUGCGUAGAGAUCAGGAGGAACACCUGUGGUGUAGACAGCUUACUGGACGGUGACUGACGCUGAGGCACGAAAGCGUGGGUAGCAAACAGG